UUGCUUUGGCAGCAUAUAUUUCAAAAUUGGAACAAUACAAAGAAGAUUAACAUGGCCUCUGUGAAAGGAUGAUAUACAAAUUCGUGAAACCCUCCAUAUUUUU